UCUGGCUUAUAGCUCAGCGGUCCCACUAGAGUGCCCAACUGAAUGCUGGUAACUAGUGGCGAGGGUUGCGCUCGUUGCGGGACUUAACCCAACAUCUCACAACACGAGCUGACGACAGCCAUGCAGCACCUGUCUCCGCGCCUCCGAAGAGGACCCCGAGUUUCCCCGGGUAGCACGGGAUGUCAAGCCUAGGUAAGGUUUUUCGCGUAGCAUCGAAUUAAACCACAUGCUCCACCGCUUGUGCGGGCCCCCGUCAAUUCCUUUGAGUUUUAAUCUUGCGACCGUACUUCCCAGGCGGAAUACUUAAUGCGUUAGCUACGUCACCAAGACAAUUAGGUAUCCUGACAACUAGUAUUCAUCGUUUAGGGCAUGGACUAC
rnacentral:misc_RNA from 1 species